rnacentral:lncRNA from 12 species
GGGGAAGGAGCCGGAGUGGAGGGAAGAUCAGAACCCGAGGGGUUGGUGAUUCUUGGUGAUUUGCAGAGAGGGAUCGUGCCAUCAAAGAAGCAAGAUGGGCUCCAUGCCACAUUUGGGGAAGAAAAACAUGAUUGCAACUGUUCAACAAAACCCGUGAUAAUCCUUUGAAAGUGGAUAGAACAAAUAUCACAUAGCAGUGACCGUGAAAUAGUCAAAAGAGGGGCGCCUGGGUAGCUCAGGUGCUUAAGC